GUUUCCCACAAGGGGUUACUUUGCUGUAAUGCCCCUUUUUCUGCUCCCUUGCUUAGAUGAAGCCUCUCUUAGGCCAAAGGGAUGACGUGUUUAUACAUCAUGGAGACAGAUGUUUUCAUCCUUGAAGACGAUCAAGAUCCCACUCAACUUCUUCAGGGCCUUAAGAAGAGGCUAACAUGCUUACUUUUUAUAAAGCAUGUGAAGAAAGGCACACAAUAGGCAUGAGAACAAUAAGAACAAAGUAGUAGUCUGCACUUUUUCCUUUCUCAUAGGAAAAUAUGCAAUCCUGUUACCAUGUGUACUGCUCUGCUGAGAAUCUUCAAUUGUGACAAUAAAUAAAGCCACCAUCAACAGGGGGAAAGCAGUCAAGUGAGACCAGUGUUUACUUCUGUUGAACAAGCUGAUCAUGGUGAUCUUGGAACAUAUAACUAAUCCAUAUAUGUUUCUUUACUCUUAUGCCAAGAUGAUCAUGUUUUUAACGUCAGCUGAGAAAAAUCUCUCUCUUAAAGACAAGGAAGAACUGGUUGGGAUGUGGAGGCUGAGAACAAAUUUGGCCACUGUGAGCCUGGAAUGGUGAAGUUUGACAGGAUCACAACCCUAGACUUCAGAAGAACAGAUUUUGGACUGUUCAGGGAAUUGCUUGGAAGACUAUUAUUGGGCUACUGCCCUAGUGAAGAGAGGAGAGGAAGAUCAGAGUCAGUUAAUUUUCAAUGAUCACCUACUCCAAGUUCAAGAUUUGCUGAUCUGUUUUAGUAGGAGGUCAUGUGAAGGUGGCCAGACCUCCUCUGAUGAACAAGGAACUCCUGGGAAAACUGGUGCAUAAAAAGAAGGUGUACAAGAGGUGCAGGCAGGGACAAGUGCUGCAGGAUAUACAGAGAGAAUUUUUCAAUGUCCAGAGACGGAUUUAGGAAAGUCAAUUUAAUCUGGCAAGGCACAUGAAGGGAAACAAAGAGGAUUUCUGCAGGCAUAGCAGUAGCACAAGGAAACCCCAGAAAAUGUGGCACACCUGCUGAAUUGGUCAGAGGACCUUGUGACAUGCAAUACCUUCUUUUCCGUGGUCUUUUCCAGUGUGAUUUACUUUUACAAACCCAGAUAUGGGGGAUCUGUUCCUGGCCUCAGACAGCAGCUGGUGAGCAAUUGCAUUGGAUUUGAUUUCCCUUUCCUCCCAUGGUGCUUACAGAAAGCCCUGGAUGUACCAAUCUUCACUAAGCAGUGUAUUUAACAUGUUUCCAAGAGAUGAAAUAUAUAAAUUCUGAGAAUUCUGCCUUGAUAAUUUGUGGAACAUGAAAAUGGCAUUGGCAAUCCGCUGGUGGUAUGCAGUCUAAGUACAAUAGGAAUUACCCACUGGCAUGAAGAAAGUGAUGUCAUUAAUAAGAGGUGUGCCCUUCUGCCAGGUAUAGUUAUCACUUGUAGGAACCUUGAAAUGAGGUAAACAUGUUCUGACUCUUUUUUAGGUAUUCAAUUAC